rnacentral:rRNA from 1 species
UACGUAGGGGGCUAGCGUUGUCCGGAAUCAUUGGGCGUAAAGAGCGUGUAGGCGGCUCGGUAAGUCCGCCGUGAAAGCCCAGGGCUCAACCCUGGGAUGCCGGUGGAAACUGCCGGGCUAGAGUCCGGAAGAGGCGAGUGGAAUUCCUGGUGUAGCGGUGAAAUGCGCAGAUAUCAGGAGGAACACCAAUGGCGAAGGCAGCUCGCUGGGACGGUACUGACGCUGAGACGCGAAAGCGUGGGGAGCGAACAGG